rnacentral:rRNA from 1 species
UACGUAGGGGGCAAGCGUUAUCCGGAUUUACUGGGUGUAAAGGGAGCGUAGACGGCGGUGCAAGCCAGAUGUGAAAGCCCGGGGCUCAACCCCGGGACUGCAUUUGGAACUGUCAGACUGGAGUGCCGGAGAGGUAAGCGGAAUUCCUAGUGUAGCGGUGAAAUGCGUAGAUAUUAGGAGGAACACCAGUGGCGGAGGCGGCUUACUGGACGGUAACUGACGCUGAGGCACGAAAGCGUGGGUAGCAAACAGG